AUUGAACGCUGGCGGCAGGCCUAACACAUGCAAGUCGAGCGGCAGCGGGAAAGUAGCUUGCUACUUUUGCCGGCGAGCGGCGGCCGGGUGAGUAAUGCCUGGGAAAUUGCCCAGUCGAGGGGGAUAACAGUUGGAAACGACUGCUAAUACCGCAUACGCCCUACGGGGGAAAGCAGGGGACCUUCGGGCCUUGCGCGAUUGGAUAUGCACAGGUGGGAUUAGCUAGUUGGUGAGGUAAUGGCUCACCAAGGCGACGAUCCCUAGCUGGUCUGAGAGGAUGAUCAGCCACACUGGAACUGAGACACGGUCCAGACUCCUACGGGAGGCAGCAGUGGGGAAUAUUGCACAAUGGGGGAAACCCUGAUGCAGCCAUGCCGCGUGUGUGAAGAAGGCCUUCGGGUUGUAAAGCACUUUCAGCGAGGAGGAAAGGUUGAUGCCUAAUACGUAUCAACUGUGACGUUACUCGCAGAAGAAGCACCGGCUAACUCCGUGCCAGCCGCCGCAGUAA
rnacentral:rRNA from 1 species